UACGUAGGGUCCGAGCGUUGUCCGGAAUUAUUGGGCGUAAAGGGCUCGUAGGCGGUUUGUCGCGUCGGGAGUGAAAACACCGGGCUUAACUCGGUGCUUGCUUUCGAUACGGGCAGACUAGAGGUAUGCAGGGGAGAAUGGAAUUCCUGGUGUAGCGGUGAAAUGCGCAGAUAUCAGGAGGAACACCGGUGGCGAAGGCGGUUCUCUGGGCAUUACCUGACGCUGAGGAGCGAAAGUGUGGGGAGCGAACAGG
rnacentral:rRNA from 1 species